GUGGGGAAUCUUAGACAAUGGGGGAAACCCUGAUCUAGCCAUGCCGCGUGAGCGAUGAAGGCCUUAGGGUUGUAAAGCUCUUUCAGCUGGGAAGAUAAUGACUGUACCAGCAGAAGAAGCCCCGGCUAACUCCGUGCCAGCAGCCGCGGUAAUACGGAGGGGGCUAGCGUUGUUCGGAAUUACUGGGCGUAAAGCGAACGUAGGCGGACCGGAAAGUCAGAGGUGAAAUCCCAGGGCUCAACCUUGGAACUGCCUGUGAAACUCCUGGUCUUGAGGUCGAGAGAGGUGAGUGGAAUUCCGAGUGUAGAGGUGAAAUUCGUAGAUAUUCGGAGGAACACCAGUGGCGAAGGCGGCUCACUGGCUCGAUACUGACGCUGAGGUGCGAAAGCGUGGGGAUCAAACAGGAUUAGAAACCCGUGUAGUCC
rnacentral:rRNA from 1 species